rnacentral:rRNA from 1 species
CCAGACUCCUACGGGAGGCAGCAGUGGGGGCUCUUGCACAAUGGGGGCCCCCCUGAUGCCGCGCCGCCGCGUGUGGGCCGACGGUCCUCUGGCUUGUAAACCCCUGUCCCCAGGGCCGCCGAUGACGGUCCCUGGGGAGGAAGCUCCGGCUAACUACGUGCCCGCAGCCGCGGUCCUACGUAGGGCGCGCGCGUUGUCCGGCCUUACUGGGUGUCAAGGGAGCGUAGGCGGGGAGGCAAGUUGGGUGUCAAAACUACCGGCUCAACUGGUAGUCGCACUCAAAACUGCAGCUCUUGAGGGAAGGAGAGGCAGGCGGAAUUCCUAGGGGAGCGGUGAAAUGCGGAGAUAUUAGGAGGAACACCAGUGGAGAAGGCGGCCUGCUGGGCGGUUACUGACGCUGAGUCUCGAAAGGGUGGGGAGCAAACAGGAGUAGAUACCCGCGUAU